GAUGAAGAACGUAGCGAAAUGCGAUACGUAGUGUGAAUUGCAGAAUUCAGUGAAUCAUCGAAUCUUUGAACGCACAUUGCACCUCUCGGUAUUCCGGGAGGUAUGCCUGUUCGAGCGUCAUUUGUACCCUCAAGCUCUGCUUGGUGUUGGGUGUUUGUUCCGCCUCUGUGUGUGAACUCGCCUCAAAACACUUGGCAGCCGGCGUACUUGUUUCGGAGCGCAGCACAUUUUGCGAUCCAGAUCAACGUACAGCGGCAUCCAAGAAGCCUUAUUUAACGCUCUUGACCUCGGAUCAGGUAGGGAUACCCGCUGAACUUAAGCAUAUCAAUAAGCGGAGGA
rnacentral:misc_RNA from 1 species